GCCUCUUUCUCUCCCCCGCAAAAGAACACUACCGCCGGUGCGUGUAAAGCUGAGCAGGUCGUGGCGGCGGCGCUUCCUGACCUUUUUGCGUCUGCAAAAAUAAUGGAGGAUGCGGGCAUGGAGUUCCUUCAGGCCGCAGUCGACAGGUUUCCGCUGCGCGAGGAGUUCGCCGACAGCCUUGAGCAUCCAGAUCCGGUGCCUCUGGUGUUGUUGCAGUCAUGCGAGGGCACCCGAGCCGAGUAUGUGAGCUCAAAUGCUGGUUUUGAUUUUGGUCAACGGGUUGGUGGCGAUGACCAUGUCCAUGGACAAAGUUAGAGACCAGCGAGAGCUGAUGCAUUUCCGACUAAGUCGGUAGAGUCUACUGACAGAGUUAAUCCAGAAGCCCCUGGAUGGACAAAAAGCAUACUGAAUACAUAUGUGAUGGGGAUUUUAAGAUUAAGGCUGGGUAGUGCACCUCCAGACCGCACACCGUGUCUGUCCAGGAUGAGUGCUUUGGAGUAGUCGAUCAGGAAGUAUGCAGAAGAACCCACGAAAGGUGUUGUAUGGCCAACACUUGGGUUGACUUUCGAUUCACUUGGUGAGGCAUACGACUUCUACAAUUUGUAUUCUUGGGAGAUCCGAUUCAGUACUAGAUAUGGUAAGAGCAGACUCAAUGCCGAGAGAUCUAAAUGCAUGGAGGAGAUAGUCUGUGGUUGCUCGGGGAAACCAGAGGUAGAAAAUAGUAGAUCAUGCAGGCGUGAGUGGCCGACGUUGAUUAGGUUGCUGCAAGCGUCAGACAACAGCUGGUAGAUCACUGAGAAGGUGCAGUGGCCAUCGCACAAACACAUCAACGUCUACCGCAAAGAGUUGAUAAAGCAGUUGUGGGAAAACAAUGUGAACCUUGGGAAGGUUUACUGUAUAAUUGGCAGUUUCUUCGGAUCAAUUGAGAGGGUGCCUUUCAAGAAGAGGACUCUUCGGAACAUUUGUGGAAAGAUAAGCCGUGAGCAAAAGGAUGACGUGAGGAAGACCCUAGAGGUGUUUGCUGACAUUCUUGCCGGUGACCCUGACUUUACCUACAGGGUGUUGGCUGGCAGUUCAAGCAAGGUGAAGAACCUAAUGUGGUCUAACGGUAGCAGCCGAAUGCAAUACAAGUUAUCUGGAGAUGUUGUCACAUUCGACAUGACAUACAGGACUAACCUAUACGAUAUGCCAUUUGGGCUAUUCGUGGGAGGUAACAAUCAUUUCCAAAGCAUUAUCCUUGCUGGUGUCUUGAUGCAUGAUGAGCAAAUAGAAAGCUUUAAAUGGGUUUUCGCUGAGUUUUUGCGUAUGAUGGGAGGCCCACCCCCUAAGACAAUCCUAACAGGCAGUACAUGAGGUUGCAGUUUGACCGGGAGCAUGAAGAAAGCUACGAGGAGAAGAGAAUUAUGAUUAUAAGGGCUGUUAGGAGAUCUAAUUUGGCAAUAGAGAGGCAUGCAAGUAAUAUUUACACAAGGGCUGUGUUUGAAGAAUUUCGCCGUCUACUAAUUGAAGGCACAGCCUAUAAUGUCACUGAGGUAGAGUGGAUGAGGAGGUAUGUGACAACACACGAUAAUGCAGCAAAGAUAAAGAGCAGGGUUGUCUAUGAGCUCACCGUAAGCGAUGAUCAGACAGAGUAUACUUGCGAGUGUGGUCAGUUCGAGCACACUGGAAUGUUGUGCAGUCAUAUUCUGAGGGUUAUUUUUUUGGAAAUGGAGGCAUGCCCCCGGCCUCUGCAUCAUGACGAUGAGGGUCAUGGAGAUUCCGGCAAAACACAUAGUGAAACGGUGGACCAAGGACGCGACGGACAGACUUAUGGGCCACCUUGUUCAGUACCAAAAGGACAAUUCGAUCAACUUGUUGUUCAGGUGCAGGCAUUCGAAGUUGUACUUCAGAGCUAUGAAUGUGGUUUGUAUGGGCGAUGCUAGCGCAGAAUCAUUUGAUUUCAUGUUUGCUGGCCUGGCUGAUUUGUUGCUGCGUGGCGCACCUAUUGCAGAGAAGAGGGAUGGUCUAGGAUUUAAGGACCGUAUGGCAGGUUUGGCUCCUAGUAGAUUGCCUGUAAACGGAGAAGUUGCAUUUGCUGGGGGCCAACCAAGGUAUUAGUGCAGCACAAUCUGCUAGCGUGAAUGAUCUCCAAGGCCUGGCAGCACCAGAUAAGCAGAGGAGUGUUGGAAGACUAACAAACAGUAGGGAAAAGGCAUUGUACGAGGUCUGAGUAAAGGCACAAGGUUCUGCAACAUUUUUCGCCGAGGGGCACAAGCGAACCACCUGUCCUGAGAGAGGGGAUCCCCCCCCCCCCCUGAGAAUAAGUUGUCGAAACUGAUUUUAAUUCAUGUAUUGUUGUUUGUCGAGGAUUUUCUAGUCUUUUUCAGUGAGCUCCGCACCACACUUGUUUCUCAUCUUCAGAGGCAAUCUAUGAUCUGUACAAUAGAUCGAGUAUUGUGUUGUAUUUCAUACCAAGUUGUGAACUGAUGUUUGAUUAUGAUGUUCUGAUUUUUGCCGUGUGAGACAAU